rnacentral:rRNA from 1 species
GACGAACGCUGGCGGCGUGGAUUAGGCAUGCAAGUCGAACGGUAUCAUCCUUUCGGGGGUGAGAGAGUGGCGAACUGGUGAGUAACACGUAGGUUAUCUACCCUCAAGACGGGGACAACCCAGGGAAACUUGGGCUAAUACCGGAUGUGAGCAACUUUUAGUUGUUUGAAAGGUGGCGUAAGCUGUCGCUUGGGGAUGAGCCUGCGUCCUAUUAGUUAGUUGGUGAGGUAACGGCUCACCUAGGCAAUGAUAGGUAGGCGGCCUUAACGGGUGGUCGCCCACACUGGGAUUGAGAUACGGCCCAGACUCCUACGGGAGGCAGCAGUCGAGAAUAGUCUACAAUGGUCGGAAGACUGAUAGUGCGACGCCGCGUGAACGAUGAAUCCCUUCGGGGUUAAAGUUCUUUUAUAUGUGAGCAGUGCUUCUUAUAUUAACAGUUAAUGGGGAGAGGAGAUAUUAGCAUAUGAAUAAGCAACGGCUAACUCCGUGCCAGCAGCCGCGGU